GACGAACGCUGGCGGCGUGCUUAACACAUGCAAGUCGAACGGAAAGGCCCUGCUUGCAGGGUACUCGAGUGGCGAACGGGUGAGUAACACGUGGGUGAUCUGCCCUGCACUUCGGGAUAAGCCUGGGAAACUGGGUCUAAUACCGGAUAGGAGCCAUUUUUAGUGUGAUGGUUGGAAAGUUUUUUCGGUGUAGGAUGAGCUCGCGGCCUAUCAGCUUGUUGGUGGGGUAAUGGCCUACCAAGGCGGCGACGGGUAGCCGGCCUGAGAGGGUGGACGGCCACAUUGGGACUGAGAUACGGUCCAGACUCCUACGGGAGGCAGAAGUGGGGAAUAUUGCACAAUGGGCGCGAGCCUGAUGCAGCGACGCCGCGUGGGGGAUGACGGCCUUGGGGUUGUAAACGCCUUGCGCUAGGGACGAAGCUUUUUGUGACGGUACCUAGAGAAGAAGCACCGGCUAACUACGUG
rnacentral:rRNA from 1 species